CCAUCCAUUCCGUUGGAUGAAGCCAAUAUCCCCGGCUUUGCCAGUAAUGGCAUUGUUCGGAAGCGGAUAUAAAUGGAACCCUAUUUGGAGCAAAUCCCGUGAGGGAGAAGCAAAACUGCCAGCUACAAGGCGGUUAGGGUG
rfam:Roseburia hominis A2-183, complete genome.